UACAGAGGUCUCAAGCGUUGUUCGGAUUCAUUGGGCGUAAAGGGUGCGUAGGCGGCGCGGUAAGUCGGGUGUGAAAGUCAAAGGCUCAACCUUUGAAAGCCGAUGGAUACUGCAGGGCUAGAGUCCGGAAGAGGCGAGUGGAAUUCCUGGUGUAGCGGUGGAAUGCGCAGAUAUCAGGAGGAACACCAAUGGCGAAGGCAGCUCGCUGGGACGGUACUGACGCUGAGGAGCGAAAGCGUGGGGAGCGAACAGG
rnacentral:rRNA from 1 species